AUCAGUAUGAACUCAAAGUUGGUGUGAAACGAACCUGCCUCUGGCAAAUCGCGAUUCGUGCACUAAAAUCAUUGAAGCUGCUCACAAAAAGCUGCUUUCAAUAGGUGUUUCAAUCGCGCCAAAGGUGGCAUACUCAACAGCCUUCAUUUCAUUGUAUAAUUAAAUUAUAAAAUAAAUAAAAAAUACAAGAAAGGAAAAUAGGAUCUGUUGAAUCUGUUAGGGAAGCAAGAGCAGCCGAAAAACAAUUCCACCGCAGGAAGAAAAAAACAGUUAAGAUCAAAUGAUUAGUGAGGGCAGGAAAGAAUGGAGAACGAAAUGCGGAGGUUAUAUGGAACUAUCAAUAAAGUGUGGAGGAAGACAGCGCCAGCUACCGCCAUGUUCAAUGACCAAGAAAGAAAUUUGCUGACAGAUAAGAACGAGGUGGCUGCCAGAUGGAAGCCAUACUUCGAGACUUUGUGAAACUGCAGAAGUGCCGUUUGGAUCUCCAGUUGCCUUACGAGCAAAGGAGUAGGAUCGCCAAUCCGGAGAUAGCGAGAUCGAUUGCCUGCUGGACAAAGUUAUCAGAAAAACUAAUUCUUAUUAUUAACAUUUACACUCUAAGCUUGACGUACUAAAAGUUCCGUUAAAUCCAACGCAAUUUUGUUGAAAAUAGGAUAACCUCAAAAAAUUAAGUAAAAGAUGCUUUUCGUUUUCUGUUGAACAUUUCCAACAAAACACUGAAGACGUUUUCUAAAAGAAAAUUAAAUACGUAUUUAUCGACUCGGAAUGGGGUGACGAGCUCGGUGGUCUAGUGGCUACCGCUUCUGCCUUAUAAGCAGGAGGUCGUGGAUUCAAUUCCAGGCUCGUACCUUACAUACUUUGUAUUUCUAUCUUAGUUCUUUCUGUGUUUCACGUUCUACCAAAAUGAUUCCUACUGUUAUAACCUGCCACACAAACCCAAAACCUCCCGUGACAUCUAUGAGAGGUCGUAGAGCUCUCUAC